GAUGAACGCUGGCGGCGUGCUUAACACAUGCAAGUCGAACGGAAAGGCCACAGCUUGCUGUGGUACUCGAGUGGCGAACGGGUGAGUAACACGUGGGUGAUCUGCCCUGUACUUCGGGAUAAGCUUGGGAAACUGGGUCUAAUACCGGAUAGGAAUCACAUGUGGGUGUGUGGUUGGAAAGCUUUUGCGGUAUGGGAUGAGCUCGCGGCCUAUCAGCUUGUUGGUGGGGUAAUGGCCUACCAAGGCGUCGACGGGUAGCCGGCCUUAGAGGGUGUACGGCCACAUUGGGACUGAGAUACGGCCCAGACUCCUACGGGAGGCAGCAGUGGGGAAUAUUGCACAAUGGGCGCAAGCCUGAUGCAGCGACGCCGCGUGGGGGAUGACGGCCUUCGGGUUGUAAACUCCUUUCGUCAGGGACGAAGCGAAAGUGACGGUACCUGGAUAAGAAGCACCGGCUAACUACGUG
rnacentral:rRNA from 1 species